AUAAACUGUGCGGUGCAAUUCAGAAAACGGCACCGGGGAGUCCAGGACGCGAAUCAGGAUGAAUUGAGGGAAUGAAUUGAGAAGGAAAUUCAGGGCUUGUGCCGCAUUCACCAAAGUCAAAGGAGCGGGUGAGGGUCCAAAAAGUUGGUCCGGGGGAAGUGUCGCCGUCACUACCAGGUGUUGUUCUCUUUGAAGUGGUGUUCUCUUUUAAGCGGGAUAUGGAACAAUGGUCUCAUAUUCUCCUGUCGACCUAGAUUGGCACUAUGAAGAAGCAAGCAAGCCAGAAAUAGAACCAUAAUUUCAAAGAAAACAUUUGAAGAUACCAAAUCCAGUUCAUAUGUAAGAGACUUUUCUGCAGACCCCUUAGGGUGCACCUACAUCACUUGGAAACCAUUCGGCCAAAGAAUAUCUGUUGGACCACUGUUGGUAAUUCCAGUCCUAGCUCAAUUCUUGAGCAUAGAUAUAAUUUCCUGUGUGGCACUCAAUAUCUCCAAGACCUAGGAUGCUCCUUGAGAGGCAUGGUACUAUUUUGAGGUUUGUUCCAGGGUCAAACAGAGUUUCAGCAUUCCCAGAAGAGAAAUGGAACUACCUCCUUGUUGUUGAACACUUUGUCUUCAUGUCACAAAUAUUCAUGCAUAUAUUCAACCAACUGCUAUUUCCUGACAGGAUGGUGUUUCAAGACUAUCUUUUCUAUUUACAUUUCACAUGAAGAAAAGGGUACUGUUCCUUGAGAAAGCUCUUUCUUCAUUAGGGCAGGUUCCAUAUCCAAUCAUUUUGUAAACUGUGAAAAUAAAGAACAAGACUAAAUAAUGAAGCAAUAUUUGUGUAGUAGAAUAGACUAUCGGAAAUUUCGCUGGAGGUCCAUGACAGAACUGAAAUUAACACUUGAGUAUCUACACGUAUGGAAUAUUUCAUAGCUUGAGAGAAUCAUAUCCCUAAAUUUUUUUCUGCUCUAUAAUGCAUUGCUGCUACUUUUGUGUUAACUAAGGGACGGUAGUAAAAUAAAGGUUUAAAAUGGAAGAAUAUAACUGCAUAUAUUUCUAGUUAUAGGUAACCUUAUUUUUGGUAUUUAGUAUCUCCCAGCUACUAAAAACGCAUCAAUGUGUAAUUCUCACACAACCUUCAUCAUCAUCUUUAUGUUACAGACAGGGAACAAGAGGCUUAAAGAAGUUAGGGAGCAGGGUUUCCAGAAUGACAAUAACUCUCUUCCAAGGAAAUAAAAAAAUAACUUGUGUAUGUUAUGAAAAAUAUUAAUUUAAACUUCUGGAAAUUGUCCCAAGAGCAUACAGCAAAAUGGGAAAGCAUUUAUUCAAGAAAGACCACUUAAUCUCAUUAAGAACAAUGAGCUUGGACACCUGGGUGGCUCAGUGGGUUAAUGCCUCUGCCUUCGGCUCAGGUCAUGAUCC